UGUAACAUGUAGAGAUCCAGUCAGAGACGCUAAGUGAACGGACUUUGUGAGGUUUAGUAGGUUGUAGAAGGACAUUGUUAUCCAUUACUGAGGCUGACAACCAGUUAUGCUGUGUUUUGGCAUAUUGAAAUCGACAAGAGGAGACGGACAUUUGUGACUGUAAAAGAGAGAGGAUCGGGGAAGCUCCUCUGGACCACCCAGAGAGCGGUUUUCCAUCCUGCUGGUGUGAUGUAGACUGUCGCUGCUGGUUUCUGUUCUGCUGAUCUUCCUGCUGUGGUUUACCCGGUGCUCUGUCUGCUGCCAUCGCCAAGUUCGCCUUUAUAUCCCCUUGACUGGGAUUCUGACUCCCCUCAUCCGCUCCAUCUACAACUUCCAGUAAGGGGAG